GGGCGGCGGCCACCCGGUUAGGUAGCCGGGCGCCGGGGGCGUGGAGGGCUGCAGAGUGGAGCCCGGGACAGCUGCGAUCCUGCUCGGGUUGCUUUCCUUCCUCCGUCGCCUUCUCCCUUUGCUCUGCGCCGGCCACACGGUGGGACGCCCGCGGCGACAGAAGUCUGGGCGCCCUUGUCUGAAACCUCCUGGCGAGCCUGACAAGCAGCCGCGGAGAGCAAGAUCCAUGUUCACUUAUUCCCUGGUCUAGGAGUGGAAUUUCUGGGACAUACGAUCCUUAUCCAUUAUGUUAUUACAAAUUGAAUAUAUUGAAUAUAGUUCACUGUGCUAUACA